rnacentral:rRNA from 1 species
GGGACACCGAGUGCCAGCAUCAUAUGUUGGCUGCCCAGAUGUGUAAAAUACAUCUGUUAGCGAGGGCCGGGCAAGACCGGUGCCAGCCGCCGCGGUAACACCGGCGGCCCGAGUGGUGAUCGUGAUUAUUGGGUCUAAAGGGUCCGUAGCCGGUUUGGUCAGUCCUCCGGGAAAUCUGACGGCUCAACCGUUAGGCUUUCGGUGGAUACUGCCAGACUUGGAACCGGGAGAGGUAAGAGGUACUACAGGGAUAGGAGUGAAAUCUUGUAGUCCCUGUGAGACCACCUGUGGCGAAGGCGUCUUACCAGAACGGGUUCGACGGUGAGGGACGAAAGCUGGGGGCACGAACCGGAUUAGAUACCCGGGUAGUCCCAGCCGUAAACGAUGCUCGCUAGGUGUCAGGCAUGGCGCGACCGUGUCUGGUGCCGCAGGGAAGCCGUGAAGCGAGCCACCUGGGAAGUACGGCCGCAAGGCUGAAACUUAAAGGAAUUGGCGGGGGAGCACAACAACGGGUGGAGCCUGCGGUUUAAUUGGACUCAACGCCGGACAACUCACCGGGGACGACAGCAAUAUGUAGGCCAGGCUAAAGACCUUGCCUGAAUCGCUGAGAGGAGGUGCAUGGCCGUCGCCAGUUCGUACUGUGAAGCAUCCUGUUAAGUCAGGCAACGAGCGAGACCCGUGCCCACUGUUACCAGCAUGUCCUCCGGGACGAUGGGUACUCUGUGGGGACCGCCGAUGUUAAAUCGGAGGAAGGUGCGGGCUACGGUAGGUCAGUAUGCCCCGAAUUUCCCGGGCUACACGCGGGCUACAAUGAAUGGGACAAUGGGUCCCUACCCCGAGAGGGGUUGGUAAUCUCCCAAACCCAUCCGUAGUUCGGAUCGAGGGCUGUAACUCGCCCUCGUGAAGCUGGAAUCCGUAGUAAUCGCGUUUCAAUAUAGCGCGGUGAAUACGUCCCUGCUCCUUGCACACACCGCAAUCGA